AGAUACGAAUAACAAAUAAUAGUAGUAGUAGUAGUGUUGUUGUUAACAAAACGAAGGUUUAUUUAACGUUGAGAUGAUCGGUCGCCGUUUAAAACUUUGCUUCUUAAAUUUUUUUCUUCAAUAAAUCUUUGCAACAAUCCGUGAUAUUGAAUCGA